CCUACGGGAGGCAGCAGUAGGGAAUUUUGCGCAAUGGGGGAAACCCUGAUGCAGCGACGCCGCGUGAGUGAAGAAGUAUUUCGGUAUGUAAAGCUCUAUCAGCAGGGAAGAAAAUGACGGUACCUGAUUAAGAAGCCCCGGCUAACUACGUGCCAGCAGCCGCGGUAAUACGUAGGGGGCAAGCGUUAUCCGGAUUUACUGGGCGUAAAGGGAGCGUAGACGGCAGGGCAAGUCUGAGGUGAAAGGCCGGGGCUUAACGCUGGAACUGAUUUGGAAACUGGGCAGCUAGAGUGAAGGCGAGGGAAGUGGAAUUCGUGGUGUAGCGGUGAAAGGCUUAGAUAUAAGGAAGAACACCGGUGGCGAAGGCGGCUUACUAGACUGUAACUGACGUUGAGGCUCGAAAGCGGGGGGAGCAAACAGGAUUAGAUACCCUAGUAGUC
rnacentral:rRNA from 1 species